rnacentral:rRNA from 1 species
CAUGCAAGUCGACGGGAAUCUUCGGAUUCUAGUGGCGGACGGGUGAGUAACGCGUAAGAAUCUAACUUCAGGACGGGGACAACAGUUGGAAACGACUGCUAAUACCCGAUGUGCCGCAAGGUGAAAACUAAUUGGCCUGAAGAAGAGCUUGCGUCUGAUUAGCUAGUUGGUGGGGUAAGAGCCUACCAAGGCGACGAUCAGUAGCUGGUCUGAGAGGAUGAGCAGCCACACUGGGACUGAGACACGGCCCAGACUCCUACGGGAGGCAGCAGUGGGGAAUUUUCCGCAAUGGGCGAAAGCCUGACGGAGCAACGCCGCGUGAGGGAGGAAGGUCUUUGGAUUGUAAACCUCUUUUCUCAAGGAAGAAGUUCUGACGGUACUUGAGGAAUCAGCCUCGGCUAACUCCGUGCCAGCAGCCGCGGUAAUACGGGGGAGGCAAGCGUUAUCCGGAAUUAUUGGGCGUAAAGCGUCCGCAGGUGGUCAGCCAAGUCUGCCGUCAAAUCAGGUUGCUUAACGACCUAAAGGCGGUGGAAACUGGCAGACUAGAGAGCAGUAGGGGUAGCAGGAAUUCCCAGUGUAGCGGUGAAAUGCGUAGAGAUUGGGAAGAACAUCGGUGGCGAAAGCGUGCUACUGGGCUGUAUCUGACACUCAGGGACGAAAGCUAGGGGAGCGAAAGGGAUUAGAUACCCCUGUAGUCCUA